GGAGGGUGUAGUUCAGUGGUAGAGCGCGUGCUUAGCAUGCAUGAGGUCCUGGGUUCAAUCCCCAGUACCUCCA
rnacentral:tRNA from 1 species